rnacentral:rRNA from 1 species
GUUAGGAAUCUUCCACAAUGGGGGCAACCCUGAUGGAGCAACACCGCGUGCUGGAUGAAGGCCUUCGGGUCGUAAACAGCUUUUGUAUACGAAGAAUAUGACGGUAAUAUACGAAUAAGGGUCGGCUAACUACGUGCCAGCAGCCGCGGUCAUACGUAGGACCCAAGCGUUAUCCGGAGUGACUGGGCGUAAAGAGUUGCGUAGGCGGCUUAUUAAGCGAGUAGUGAAAUCUGGUGGCUCAACCAUCAACACAUUGCUCGAACUGAUAGGCUUGAGAAUGGUAGAGGUAGUUGGAAUUUCUUGUGUAGGAGUGAAAUCCGUAGAUAUAAGAAGGAACACCAAUGGCGUAGGCAGACUACUGGACCAUUUCUGACGCUGAGGCACGAAAGCGUGGGGAGCGAACCGGAUUAGAAACCCGUGUAGUCC